rnacentral:rRNA from 1 species
UGAGGAAUAUUGGUCAAUGGACGAGAGUCUGAACCAGCCAAGUAGCGUGCAGGAUGACGGCCCUAUGGGUUGUAAACUGCUUUUGUUUGGGAAUAAUCGACAUUACGUGUAAUGUUUUGCAUGUACCAUUCGAAUAAGGACCGGCUAAUUCCGUGCCAGCAGCCGCGGUAAUACGGAAGGUCCAGGCGUUAUCCGGAUUUAUUGGGUUUAAAGGGAGUGUAGGCGGUUGGUUAAGCGUGUUGUGAAAUGUAGAUGCUCAACAUCUGACUUGCAGCGCGAACUGGCUGACUUCAGUACACACAACGUAGGCGGAAUUCAUGGUGUAGCGGUGAAAUGCUUAGAUAUCAUGAAGAACUCCGAUUGCGAAGGCAGCUUACGGGAGUGUUACUGACGCUUAAGCUCGAAGGUGCGGGUAUCGAACAGG